GAAAAGAGUGGAAUGGCAUCAUGUCUGCUGUGCUUUACUACCGUCUUACUUACUCAAAGAGCUAGUUAGCUAUUAUUCUACUACACGUAAACAGAACAAAUUGGCGACGAGGUACUCCACUGCGUGAUCCUACAAUGGCUGCUGCAACUCCCUUCUCGACGUCAUUUCUUCAAUGCCCUGGUGAGCCAACUUUGCCCUUCGACACAUGGCUGAAGAUUUUCCAGAACUAUCUACAAGUGGUUGCGAAUAGUUCCAAUGGAUGGCCGGAUCAUCGGAAGUGCACUCUGCUACUACAUUGUUUGGGAACUGAAGGACAAAGACUGUUUUACACCUUACCAAAUAUAGGUGAGAGCACGGAUAAACCUAUAAAUGCUUUAUGUUUCUGAGCGACACACUUUUAUAAGGCACAUUCAACAGCCUCAUGAAACUGUGCUUCAGUAUGUUACUGCUUUAAGAGACCUUGCUGCUACUUGUGAGUUUGGUUCAAACUUGGAUGACAUGCUGCGUGAUCAGCUAGUGGAGAACAUUGCAAAUCAUCAUAUAAGAGAACGGUUGCUUCUUGAACCUUACAGAAAGCAAUAACGCUAGCAACACAGAUCGAAGCUGCUGGUGAACAAGCUAGAAUAAUUGCUGGAGAGAACUCCACCCGGUGUGACAUCGUUUUUCCGCCGGAGAUGUAACUCCACGCCUUCAAAACGCUUGCCCACGCUGACUCUCUCAUUCUCCUGCACCUGCUGUUUCAGCGCCCCCCUGUCAGCAACCAAAAUUCUGCUGUGGAUCACACAAACAUCUUGCCAAAGAUACAUCAUGUUCUACUGCAUCAGUUAAAUGCAAAAACUGUAAUAAAAUUGGACAUUUUGCAUGAGUGUGCCGUUCAGUUCACAGACAGUUUCUGUGCAUGAAAUCGACCUGACUGAAGUGCAGAACCUUUACUUACAUGUAGAAGUUGAUAAAAGUAGCUGCACUGUACAAAUUCUAACAUCAUCUGCUGCAAGACCUGUUGAGCUAACUGUUGAUUCAGGCUCGUCAGUGUCAAUUCUACCCAAGGUUUUUUAUGAGAAAUACUUCAGAGGAGAAAAACUGCAACCUCCAAAGGUGGCGUAAAGAGAUGUUUUGUGGCUGGAGAGAUGUAAGAGAAGAAGAACAAAAGGAAAUACAGAAGAGAGUGGAAUGGCAUCAUGGCUGCUGUGCUUUACUACCGUCUUACUUAAACAAAGAGCUAUUUAGCUAAUAUUCUACUACACUUAAACAGAACACCCACGUGCUAACUUAUUUGAGAGUUUGGGCUGAUACACAACACAGAGGUUAGAUCAUAUUUCCAAAGUAAUUUUGUUUUUCUUCUUCAUGGGUUCUCUGGAAAAAGGUCUGCAAGACUAAACCAAUUUUUCAGGACUGUACCAUAUAUCAUGAGCUUUUAUUUUUUAGUGCUCUAGCUUUGUUUUUAAAGUGGAAUGGCAACCUCAAGUGUCAACUGUUGGGUUCUACUCUGAUAAAAUCAUCAUCAAUCACAUCUUUCUGAUGUAGAUAGAAGUCUGAGUAAAAUAUACCUGUCACAUUGAACAUUCUUUUCUGCAAGAUUGACCAAAACAUUUGAAAAUCAAAGCAAAACCUUUUGUUGGAUAUCUUGAGUUUUAUUCUUUACAUAUUCAAAAACCCUCAACAAAAUUUGCAAUUAUUUAUCUGAAGUCGACAGAAAUGUCUGUAAUGUGCCAAUAAAGCUUAAGAUUGGUUAA